CAAUAGCGUAUAUUAAAAUUGUUGCAGUUAAAAAGCUCGUAGUUGGAUCUGCGGUUAGGGCUUGCGGUCCACCACGCGGUGGUACUGCUCGUCCCGACCUACAUCGAAUCGAACCGCGUUGCUCUUCGCUGAGUGACCGGGAAGGCUCGAACGUUUACUUUGAAAAAAUUAGAGUGUUCAUAGCAGGCCCAGACGCCUGAAUAAUGUUGCAUGGAAUAAUGGAAUAGGACCUCGGUUCUAUUUUGUUGGUUUUCGGAGCGGAGGUAAUGAUUAAUAGGGACGGCCGGGGGCAUUCGUAUUACGGUGUUAGAGGUGAAAUUCUGGGAUCAUCGUAAGACGAACUACAGCGAAAGCAUUUGCCAAGAAUGUUUUCAUUAAUCAAGAACGAAAGUCAGAGGUU
rnacentral:rRNA from 1 species